UUUUUAUAUAAAUUUAUUUUUAGGAUUCACGAAGUUUAUUGAGCUAAAAUAUUAAAUCAAUUAGGGUAUAAUUUAAUUGUAGUAUUAAUUAAUGAAAAUAAUAUUUUAGGGGUGAUAGGCCUAACAAAAUAAGCGAUAUCUUGAUGGUUAAAAAAAAUAUUUAGUAUUAUUUCAAACUAAAAGUGGUAAGGCUUGUAGUAUACAAUAAUAUUUAAUAUAGUUAUGUUGGAUAUAUAAUAGUUUUAACAUUAAAUUAUUUAAUACUAAUUAAUUUAACUUUUGCAAAGUAUUAACCUAUAUUUUUAAAUUAGAUAUGGAUUAAAUUAUGAAAGUAUUAGUAUAAAAUAAUAAUUAAUUUAGGAACUCGGCAAAAAUUUUACUCGACUGUUUACCAAAAACAUGCUCUAAGAAAACAUUUAGGGUUUCCCCUGCUCAAUGAAAUUUAAAUAGCCGCAGUACCUUGACUGUGCAAAGGUAGCAUAAUCAGUUGGCUUAUAAUUGAAGUCUAGAAUGAAUGGGAUACCGGGUAAUAACUGUCUUAUUUAAUAAAGUAAAAGUUACUUAGUAAGUGAAAAUACUUACAUAUAGAUGUUAGACGAGAAGACCCUAGAAAUUUUUUAUAAUUUAAUAAAGUCUAUUUUGUUGGGGCGACAAAGUAACAAAUAACUUACUACUACUACAGGCUACUGUUUUGUUGGAUGAAUAAAUUACUCUAGGGAUAACAGCAUUAUUUAUUAUAAGUUUGUGACCUCGAUGUUGGACUAGGGAAUAAAAUAUCUAGAAGAUAAUUUUGUGGGCUCUGUUCGAGCUAUUUCCCCUACAUGAUCUGAGUUCAGACCGG
rnacentral:rRNA from 1 species